AUAUAUAUAUAUAUAUAUAUACUAUAUUAAAAGCAUGAACUCCAAAACUAAAAAGUUAAAUUACCUAAAUACCCUUCUUUUAAACCUAAAUACUAAUUUGUUUAUUUUAAAAAACUAACGCCUACUAAUAUCCCAAAGCCAGCCUUCCUACUUCUUCCUCAACAGACACAACCAUUCAAAUACAAUGCUAUUUUCUUAACCACUUUAGCCAAAUAUGAUUCUCUCCAUUGAGAGUCCCCCAUAAAGUAUUCACAAGAUAUUCUCAACCAGAGCCAUUGACGAAUACCAAAACAAAAACAAAAAAAAAUCGUUGAACUCUUGAAAACUCUUCUAUCAUGUUUGUGGGAAAUUGGUAUGACAACAUAAAUAUUUUGGUCGGAGAUGACUUGGAUAAUUGUUGAUGUUAUUUUCUAUUAUAUGCUAUCCUGGACCAACAACAAGGACAAAAAUCAGUACAGCAAAGGUGCAGAUCUGGAAGCAAGCAAGCACAGAAGUUGAUACAUUUGGAAGAUUUUUCUAAUUUUAGCUAGCUCAAAUUUUGAACAUUAUGUAUUUACUUUUCUGUUGGAUUCUGUUGGAUUCUUUCCAUUUUUUAUUAUUAAUAAAAAGGAUCAAUAGGCAAUG